UGCCUUCGGAGGCCAGAACACAGGUGCUGCAUGGCUGUCGUCAGCUCGUGUCGUGAGAUGUUGGGUUAAGUCCCGCAACGAGCGCAACCCUUGUCACUAGUUGCCAUCAUUCAGUUUGGGCACUCUAGCGAGACUGCCGGUAAUAAACCGGAGGAAGUGGGAUGACGUCAAAUCAUCAUGCCCCUUAUGACCUGGGCUACACACGUGCUACAAUGGUUGGUACAACGAGUUGCGAGUCGGUGACGGCGAGCUAAUCUCUUAAAGCCAAUCUCAGUUCGGAUUGUAGGCUGCAACUCGCCUACAUGAAGUCGGAAUCGCUAGUAAUCGCGGAUCAGCACGCCGCGGUGAAUACGUUCCCGGGCCUU
rnacentral:rRNA from 1 species